rnacentral:rRNA from 1 species
UACGUAGGGUGCGAGCGUUAAUCGGAAUUACUGGGCGUAAAGCGUGCGCAGGCGGUUCGUUGUGUCGGCGGUGAAAGCCCCGGGCUCAACCUGGGAAUGGCCGUUGAAACUGGCGAACUGGAGUGUGGCAGAGGGGGGGUGGAAUUCCGGCGUGUAGCAGUGAAAUGCGUAGAGAUGCGGAGGAACACCGAUGGCGAAGGCAGCCCCCUGGGCUGACACUGACGCUCAGGCACGAAAGCGUGGGGAGCAAACAGG